UCGCGUUUCAGAUCAACACAUACAAAAGCGAUGGCCCUAACGGAAUUCCGUAGCGUGAAGAAAUGGUAUAAAAGAUACUUUCAAGGUGUAGAUGAGCAACAUUCACAUGGACCCGACUCAGUUAUAUCGAUGUAAGACCACGCAUUCAGCAGUUUUCAGUGGAAGAAGACGAAUACAGGAUAAAUGCUGAUAAUUGUUCCGGACUGUGCCUGACUGACGCUGGAUUUGGUCGUAUUAAACAGUUACACAGGAGAUCUGACGUUGAUACCGUAAACCAGGCAGCGGAAGUGGUAAACCAUUCAUCUCAUAGCAACGAGACUGUCGUAUAUGGCAACAGUGGAAACAUUUCAUUGAGGAUACGUUUUAAAAAAUCACAAUGUUUCCAAAUACCUGUAUCGCAGAUUCCGAUUCACGUCUGAUGAACCAGGUGUCAUGUUCGUUAGUGUCUGCAGCAGAUUCCAAGGAAGUAAGAUUUGUCGUUGAAAGACGCAUCUUAAAACGCGCCCAUAUGAUGUUCAACCGGAACUCCCACAGGAUUCGGAGCUAAAUAGUAGCAGUAUCUAUUCAGACAUAUGCAACAAACGUUCUAGAAUUUCUUUAUUUGAAUGUUGAUUCAAACUAUAAUGCUUUGCACUGAACAUAUAAUAGGAUGUAGCGGUGAUAUAUGGAAUUGAUAACGUAGCAGAGGGGCUCCGGAAUCAUUUUUAUGCAAGCACGGCGGCGAUCCAGCGUGCUAUCAAAAUGAAGCAAUCAAUAUUUCCUUCUGUUUUUAUGUCAUGAAAUAAAAAAAAAAACUGGUUUAUAAAAAAGCUUUUGAGAAAAAAAGACGCGAUUAUUGAUUGCCGAAUUUUGAAGAAAUUUUGUACAUCUUUAUAUUAGAAAAGGAGACACAUUAAGUUCAAAUUCUUUUUAAACAGUUUGACAUGUAAAAUACAGAAGAAAGUUUGAAAGUAAGAAACUACAACUUAGUUUCUUUUAUAUUUGACAUCGAGUUGGUGACGGUCGCCGCUCCUGCACAGAUAUAUCGCACGAGGCAGCACCGGGAUUGUAACACGAAAAGGAUUCUGUGUAGUUUAAAUAUUCAAGUAUAUAUACACUGAAGAACACCUGCACCAAUUUUUAUUUACAGCGUACACUUGCAUUGUGUUUUGAGACGUAGUAUGGAUUUUUUUGCAGGUUUAAGAUUGAGAACAACUAAAAACUAUAUAGAUUCGCUUUAUUGAAUAAAUCUUUCGUGGUAAUAAUAAUAUUCAUUAUAUUGUUUCGUUUUUAUGUGCACGAAUUUGUCCAAAAUACAGGAAGUUGAAUAUAGUUGUAAACAUUCUGGUUGAUUCAGAAAAAUAAUGUUUCUACAGCAUUUUGGUCAGUAAUAUUUCUCAACGACGUCUCCAAAACAUUGACGUCAUCACAUCUUGAUGAUAAAUGAGCCGCGCCAUGAGAAAACCAACAUACUAUAGUAGUGGCAGUCUGGUCAGGAUCCAUGUUGUUCGCUAACGGUUUCUCUAAUUGCAAUAGGCUUUGAAAGGAAACAGCGUGGAUCCUGACCAGACUGCGCGAACAUGCAGGCUGGUCUGGAUCCAUGCUGGUCGCAAAGCCACUAUGAUGGUUUUCUCAUGGCACGGCUCAAAUUGAAUCAUGGAUGAUGUUUAACAUGAGUAAAAAUUACAGAAAUAUUUGUACGUAUAACAAAUGAACUUCUAUGCAUUGUUGUAAUUGGCAUGAUGUGCUGAUCAAGAUGAAACAAAUAUCCGAAAGUGUCAGGUAUAACGAAAAGCCCCCCUUUCACCUUGCC